AUGGUGUGCCGCAGGGAGCAGGCGCGGCGCCCAGUGCUGCUCCCGCGGCACCAGAGCACGACAUGGACCAACUUCAACAGGCUCGACUGCAUCUUCUCCCCCGCGCUCAAGCGUCUCCGGGCAACGAAGGUUGCAUGGUUCGAGGCGAAGGAGGCGGCCCCCGCAGGAGACAAAGCUGCAAUGGCGCGGGUGCCGGCGUUGAAGGAGUAUGACCUCGCCUUCGUGCUCUCCAACUCCCUCACAGAGCACCACUUUGGCGUCGGUAAGUCCGGUGAUGGUGAUGAACGAGUAGAUCUAGUUUAA
rnacentral:rRNA from 1 species